AAGGUUUUAAGUUAAAUAAACUAGUAGCCUUCAAAGUUUCUAAUAGGGGCCUUCCCUAAACCUUA
rnacentral:tRNA from 1 species